GGGGCAGAUUAUGGCAUCGAGCCUUAUCUGAAGUUAGUCAAACUCUGAAAAGAACUUCUGCAAGAUACUGCAAGAACUUUGGACUUAACUCAAGCUAGCAGACAAUGUUCAGGACAGGAUGACAGUCAAUUAUCAGCAGCUUUUUCUCCACAGAGUUCCUUUUGUAUUUACAUCAUCAAUUCCAAUUUUGGACUUGAAAAGGAGACAGUGAUCCAGACAGUGAUUUCCUCCAAUAUCUUAUCUCCCCGUGUCUGUGUGUGUCUUCAACAGGCAGACCCAUGGGGUUACAGUCUUGCAAGCCUUGCAACUCCAGCUUGCAAAGUAUAGAGGAAUGCAGACCUGCUGGUGGCUGCUCAUGUGUGUGUGAAGACGGCACACAUUGCUCUGAACGGUGCUGUGACAUCUGCUGCCAGAUGUGUGUAGACGUGUGCUCUGGCUUGUGUUCAGGAGACUGCAGCUACACCUUCUGUACCCUCUGCCUCAGCCUGGCACAGAACUGUGUCUCAUUUUUUACCACCCAACAAACGGAAACAUCAGAGGCACAACAUAUUGAAGAGAGUCUGACUCCAUCCUUCCACAUUGGCUGUGAAGCCAAGCUAUAUGCUGCUGUCUAAUGAGAACGGAGAUGAGGUGUGAAAAGAGCUUUCUGCAGAGCGCCAAUGUGGAUUUAAAAAUUCCCAAGUUUAAGGUUAUCCCCACCAUCAUGGCUGGACAAAAGCUCUGUGAAUAAAACAAGCGUUCCUGGCUCACAUCCAUGUGAGAAAGAGAGAGGCCGUUCUUCUUAACACGCAAGACGCCAUCUUUCCAGUCUCAUCAGUUCAUGUGGAUGGAUUUAUUUCUUGUCUAUCUGGA